CCUACGGGCGGCAGCAGUGGGGAAUAUUGGACAAUGGGGGCAACCCUGUUCCAGCCAUGCCGCGUGUGUGAAGAAGGCCCUCGGGUUGUAAAGCACUUUCAGUGAGGAAGAACGCCUGGUGGUUAAUACCCAUCAGGAAAGACAUCACUCACAGAAGAAGCACCGGCUAACUCCGUGCCAGCAGCCGCGGUAAUACGGAGGGUGCGAGCGUUAAUCGGAAUUACUGGGCGUAAAGCGCGCGUAGGUGGCUUGAUAAGCCGGUUGUGAAAGCCCCGGGCUCAACCUGGGAACGGCAUCCGGAACUGUCAAGCUAGAGUGCAGGAGAGGAAGGUAGAAUUCCCGGUGUAGCGGUGAAAUGCGUAGAGAUCGGGAGGAAUACCAGUGGCGAAGGCGGCCUUCUGGACUGACACUGACACUGAGGUGCGAAAGCGUGGGUAGCAAACAGGAUUAGAUACCCCUGUAGUC
rnacentral:rRNA from 1 species